rnacentral:rRNA from 1 species
AGUUUGAUCAUGGCUCAGAUUGAACGCUGGCGGCAGGCUUAACACAUGCAAGUCGAACGGUAACAGAACUAGCUUGCUAGUUGCUGACGAGUGGCGGACGGGUGAGUAACGCGUAGGAAUCUACCGAGUAGUGGGGGACAACAGUUGGAAACGACUGCUAAUACCGCAUAAUCCCUGAGGGGGAAAGGAGGGGAUCUGUUUACAGACCUUUCGCUAUUUGAUGAGCCUGCGUGAGAUUAGCUAGUUGGUGAGGUAAUGGCUCACCAAGGCGACGAUCUCUAGCUGGUCUGAGAGGAUGAUCAGCCACACUGGAACUGAGACACGGUCCAGACUCCUACGGGAGGCAGCAGUGGGGAAUAUUGCACAAUGGGGGAAACCCUGAUGCAGCCAUGCCGCGUGUGUGAAGAAGGCCUUCGGGUUGUAAAGCACUUUCAGCGAGGAGGAAAGGAGUAGGUUUAAUAAACCUGCUCUGUGACGUUACUCGCAGAAGAAGCACCGGCUAACUUCGUGCCAGCAGCCGCGGUAAUACGAGGGGUGCAAGCGUUAAUCGGAAUUACUGGGCGUAAAGCGUGCGUAGGUGGUUUGUUAAGCAAGAUGUGAAAGCCCUGGGCUCAACCUGGGAACUGCAUUUUGAACUGGCAAACUAGAGUUUUGUAGANGGUAGUGGAAUUUCCAGUGU